UUCUUCCCCUUCGAUCUCCAUCAAAAUCUGUGCACGAGGAGCAGAGAGAGGGGUAUAGAAAUCAUACCUGGGAUGCGUCAGCCUCGGACUUCGCCGUCGAGGUGAUCUUGGGCUCCGUCGUGGGGGUGAGACCCGUUUGUCAGUCGGGGGCCUGCUAGGCUCGGCAGGGGCCCGACCCUUCCUUCGCUUCUCCUUCGAGUCCUUGGCCUCAGUCAGAUGCCGAUCGGAAGCUCCUUCAUCCGCGCGCAUGUAUUUGUACGCGCGCUCCAGCAGUUCGACGUAUGUCCGGGGGAGGGUCUUGUCCAAAGAGUAUGUAAAUCGGAACCCCCUUAGCCCCC
rnacentral:lncRNA from 1 species